GACGAACGCUGGCGGCGUGCUUAACACAUGUAAGUCGAACGGAAAGGCCCUGCUUUUGUGGGGUGCUCGAGUGGCGAACGGGUGAGUAACACGUGAGUAACCUGCCCUUGACUUUGGGAUAACUUCAGGAAACUGGGGCUAAUACCGGAUAGGAGCUCCUGCUGCAUGGGGGGGGUUGGAAAGUUCGGGCGGUUGGGGAUGGACUGCCGGCUUACCUGCUGGUUGGUGGGGUAGUGCCUUACCAAGGCUUGGACGGGUGGCCGGCCUGGGGGGGUGACCGGCAAAAUUGGGACUGAGAUCCGGCCAAGACUCCUACGGGAGGAAGAAGUGGGGAAUAUUGCAAAAUGGGCGGAAGCCUGAUGAAGCAACGCCGCGUGCGGGAUGACGGCCUUCGGGUUGUAAACCGCUUUCGCCUGUGACGAAGCGUGAGUGACGGUAAUGGGUAAAGAAGCACCGGCUAACUACGUG
rnacentral:rRNA from 1 species